UCCUAUCCGCAAUACCUUUCGCGAUAAACGGAUUGUGACGUGUGGGCCCGCACUGAAACUUAUGCGCGCAAUAGAUAUUUACUUUUUUCUUUUUCCAUUUUUUCUUAAAUUUAUAGCCUUUUGAAUUAAAGAAAAAUAUAUAUUAAAAAAAUUGUACAGUGGUUACCUUUUCCAUUUUCCAAGUGUCGCGACUUAACCGAAGCUCCGUCGUUUUGCUUUUGCCACCUCCUCUUACCUUCUGUCCUCCUCCACCUUUCAUGGACUUAUAUGCUAAAAAUUUCAACUCUUUAACUUGUUUGUAGUUUUAAUAAACACCAAGAAGUGUAAUGUUAAUAUUCAAAUGGACAAAUCACUACCUUUGAAACUACCAUUUCACUAAAUCCAACGGUAAAUGAUUGAGAUCAAGAAAAGAAAAAAUAUAGUGGUAUCUUGCAACUGUUGCAAGAUAGUUGAGUCCUGCAAUACAUAUUAUGCAAGGCAAAUGCUAAGUUAUAAUUAUUGUAACUUACACUUUUUAUGUGAACCACAUAAAUUACGAAUCCUAUAAUUUUAUGUGGUUUAUAUGAAAAGUGUAAUUUAUAAUCAUUAUAACUUAGAGGCUCUCAUUAUAUAAUACAAAUAUAUUCUAUAUGUAAUAUAAUUAAUACAAUACACCCUACAAUAAUUCAGUGUGCCUUAAGUUAGUACGAGCUACAACCUGCAAGCAGUCAAACGCAAGCAUAUGCUUGGCUGCUGUCAAGCAGCAGGCGGCUAUUCAAUAUUCCAUUCAAAUUCAACAAGAAGAUUCAAAAAAUCGUUAAUUUCUUCUCGCGAGCAUUCGCGUGAGACUCCUAUCCGCAAUACCUUUCGCGAUAAACGGAUUGUGACGUGUGGGCCCGCACUGAAACUUAUGCGCGCAAUAGAUAUUUACUUUUUUCUUUUUCCAUUUUUUCUUAAAUUUAUAGCCUUUUGAAUUAAAGAAAAAUAUAUAUUAAAAAAAUUGUACAGUGGUUACCUUUUCCAUUUUCCAAGUGUCGCGACUUAACCGAAGCUCCGUCGUUUUGCUUUUGCCACCUCCUCUUACCUUCUGUCCUCCUCCACCUUUCUUCUUCUUCCUUAACACAUAUUCUCCCUUUCUCUACAACCAACACUACUAAAAACUUUGCUCUUUCUUAUUCUAAACCUAGGGUUUCUGCUGUAAGAAGCCGAAGAUGGGAACUGCUAAGAGGCAUUUAAAAGCUAUGCUUCG
rnacentral:lncRNA from 1 species